rnacentral:lncRNA from 1 species
GGGAAGAAGGCAGUUUACGAAGAUCAAUAUGACUUUAGCACAAGCACUGCAGGGUAUGCUAAAAGCAAAUUUAAUUACCCUCAGAGAUCCUCCUGCAAAACCCAACACUACUUCUCCUAGUUAUAAUCCCAACGCCAGGUGUGCGUAUCACUCCGAUAGCCCCGGGCAUAAUACAAACGAUUGUUGGUCGUUGAAGAAUAAAAUUCAGGAUAUGAUCGACGCCGGAGAAUUUGAAUUGGAUCCGCCUGAGACUCUUA